GACGAACGCUGGCGGCGUGCUUAACACAUGCAAGUCGAACGGAAAGGCCCUGCUUUUGUGGGGUGCUCGCGUGGCGAUCGGUUGAGUAAGACGUGAGUAACCAGCGCUUGACUUUGGGAUAACUUCAGGAAAAUGGGGCUAAUACCGGAUAGGAGGUACUGCGGCAUGGUCGGGGGUGGAAAGUUUGGGCGGUUGGGGAGUGAGUCGCGGCUUAUCGGCUUGCUGGUGGGGUAGUGGCUUACCGAGGCUUUGGCGGGGAGCCGGCCUGAGAGGGGGACCGGCCACAUUGGGACUGAGAUACGGCCCAGACUCCUACGGGAGGCAGCAGUGGGGAAGAUUGCACAAUGGGCGGAAGCCUGAUGCAGCAACGCCGCGUGUGGGAUGACGGCCUUCGGGUUGUAAACCGCUUUCGCCUGUGACGAAGCGUGAGUGACGGUAAUGGGUAAAGAAGCACCGGCUAACCACGUGCCAGCCGCCGCAGUAA
rnacentral:rRNA from 1 species